GAUGAACGCUGGCGGCGUGCCUAAUACAUGCAAGUCGAGCGAACAGACGAGGAACUUGCUCCUCUGACGUUAGCGCCGGACGGGUGAGUAACACGUGGAUAACCUAGCUAUAAGACUGGGAUAACUUCGGGAAACCGGAGCUAAUACCGGAUAAUAUAUUGAACCGCAUGGUUCAAUAGUUUAAGGCGGUUUUGCUGUCACUUAUAGAUGGAUCCGCUCCGCAUUAGCUAGUUGGUAAGGUAACGGCUUACCAAGGCGACGAUGCGUAGCCGACCUGAGAGGGUGAUCGGCCACACUGGAACUGAGACACGGUCCAGACUCCUACGGGAGGCAGCAGUAGGGAAUCUUCCGCAAUGGGCGAAAGCCUGACGGAGCAACGCCGCGUGAGUGAUGAAGGUCUUCGGAUCGUAAAACUCUGUUAUUAGGGAAGAACAAAUGUGUAAGUAAAUAUGCACCUCUUGACGUUACCUAAUCAGAAAGCCACGGCUAACUCCGUG
rnacentral:rRNA from 1 species